GUCAAUGACCUACUAGGAGGGGGGCGCCUCACUAGCUUUCUUGGUGAUUCAGUUGACUCGCCAUCUGGAGUCAUAUAGCAUCUCUUGGAAGGUUGGAGCAAAGGUGUAGUACUCAUCAAUUUUGCUGGAGUAGAUGCAAGUUUUGCUGGAGUACUCUCAGCACUUAACAAACAUGAACCAUCUUCAUUUGUCGUGUUUUUUACUGGAGUUGCUGGUAGAGGAGAUGGUUGUAAAGUAGCAGAAUGAACCCCUUGAGUUGAG
rnacentral:misc_RNA from 1 species